GCAGCCAUUGUUCCUCUAGCCUGAACUAAUCUUUCCUUGGUUUCUUGGCUCUUGCAUUAAUUAGAUUGAGCUCAGCUCUCCUCUUUGCAGUUUCCUCUUCUCUCUUCUGAGUGAGUUUAUUCUCAAUCUCUUCAAUCCUUGCUGUUAUGGUACUCAGUGCCACUUGCUCCAGUGUAUUCUCAGGUGGUGGUUGCUCUAGAUUUUUCUUCAUCUUCUCUAAAGUUUG
rnacentral:lncRNA from 1 species